AAAAAAAGUAGAAACAAAUAUUUUGUUAUCUAUUUAGCGAUGAUUAGGUUAUUAGUAAAUUCCGAUUCAUUUAGUAGCAUUUGCGGUCAAAUAAAGGCAGCAGAAGUAUACCGGUGUUCAAAAGUAAUAUUCUACUUAUUUUCAUGCUGUUAGGCAAUCGGACUGGUAGAAUCCUCUGGGACAGACUCUCCACCAGGAAAUAUUCCAAUCUGGUGUUGAUAACACAUUACGCCUUUCAAUACUCAAUAACAUCACUUAUGUUAGGCGAUAGUAAUUAUCGAUGUUAAAUUUAGAAGUGAAAAGGAAGAGACAAAUCGAGGUAACUCACUAAAAACUGAAUCACAUGAAAUCUAAAUGGAGAAUGACUGGUUGCGUCACCUGUUUGCAUGCAUCACGAACAAUGCUAAACAAAUGUAUUCAAAGUGUUACACUCGGAAACACCGUGGACAAUUUACAGUUCAGAUUGCUUUAGAGCUAAGACCGCGAAAACGAUGUAUUCGAUUCUAAGAUACGGAAAUACGAAAUUAUUUGUGAAUAUAAAGAUCAGACAACGAUUUGUGUAUCUGCAGAUCUAAAAUCGUAGAGCAUUUCACGGUUGGUUGAGAUGGUGGCC
rnacentral:lncRNA from 1 species